rfam:Stappia sp. 22II-S9-Z10 contig2, whole genome shotgun sequence.
UUCCGGCUGUCCAAAUGCCGGGGUCACUGAAGAGGCACUUACUUCCUUGCCAGGCGUGCGGACGGGAUACCCCCAUCCAAAGCGCUAGCAUCACAAGACGGAACGCCAAGGGACCACACCCCCUCG